UUUAAAUGGAUGCUUAAGUAGACA
rnacentral:siRNA from 1 species